rnacentral:rRNA from 1 species
AUUGAACGCUGGCGGCAGGCCUAACACAUGCAAGUCGAGCGGUAGCACAGGGAGCUUGCUCCUGGGUGACGAGCGGCGGACGGGUGAGUAAUGUCUGGGAAACUGCCUGAUGGAGGGGGAUAACUACUGGAAACGGUAGCUAAUACCGCAUAACGUCGCAAGACCAAAGAGGGGGACCUUCGGGCCUCUUGCCAUCAGAUGUGCCCAGAUGGGAUUAGCUAGUAGGUGGGGUAAUGGCUCACCUAGGCGACGAUCCCUAGCUGGUCUGAGAGGAUGACCAGCCACACUGGAACUGAGACACGGUCCAGACUCCUACGGGAGGCAGCAGUGGGGAAUAUUGCACAAUGGGCGCAAGCCUGAUGCAGCCAUGCCGCGUGUAUGAAGAAGGCCUUCGGGUUGUAAAGUACUUUCAGCGAGGAGGAAGGCGGUGAGGUUAAUAACCUCAUCGAUUGACGUUACUCGCAGAAGAAGCACCGGCUAACUCCGUGCCAGCAGCCGCGAUAAUACGGAGGGUGCAAGCGUUAAUCGGAAUUACUGGGCGUAAAGCGCACGCAGGCGGUCUGUCAAGUCGGAUGUGAAAUCCCCGGGCUCAACCUGGGAACUGCAUUCGAAACUGGCAGGCUAGAGUCUUGUAGAGGGGGGUAGAAUUCCAGGUGUAGCGGUGAAAUGCGUAGAGAUCUGGAGGAAUACCGGUGGCGAAGGCGGCCCCCUGGACAAAGACUGACGCUCAGGUGCGAAAGCGUGGGGAGCAAACAGGAUUAGAUACCCUGGUAGUCCACGCCGUAAACGAUGUCGACUUGGAGGUUGUUCCCUUGAGGAGUGGCUUCCGGAGCUAACGCGUUAAGUCGACCGCCUGGGGAGUACGGCCACAAGGUUAAAACUCAAAUGAAUUGACGGGGGCCCGCACAAGCGGUGGAGCAUGUGGUUUAAUUCGAUGCAACGCGAAGAACCUUACCUACUCUUGACAUCCAGAGAACUUAGCAGAGAUGCUUUGGUGCCUUCGGGAACUCUGAGACAGGUGCUGCAUGGCUGUCGUCAGCUCGUGUUGUGAAAUGUUGGGUUAAGUCCCGCAACGAGCGCAACCCUUAUCCUUUGUUGCCAGCGGUCCGGCCGGGAACUCAAAGGAGACUGCCAGUGAUAAACUGGAGGAAGGUGGGGAUGACGUCAAGUCAUCAUGGCCCUUACGAGUAGGGCUACACACGUGCUACAAUGGCGCAUACAAAGAGAAGCGACCUCGCGAGAGCAAGCGGACCUCAUAAAGUGCGUCGUAGUCCGGAUUGGAGUCUGCAACUCGACUCCAUGAAGUCGGAAUCGCUAGUAAUCGUAGAUCAGAAUGCUACGGUGAAUACGUUCCCGGGCCU